UACGUAGGGGGCAAGCGUUAUCCGGAUUUACUGGGUGUAAAGGGAGCGUAGACGGCGAUGCAAGUCUGAAGUGAAAGGCGGGGGCCCAACCCCUGGACUGCUUUGGAAACUGUAUGGCUGGAGUGCAGGAGAGGUAGGUGGAAUUCCUAGUGUAGCGGUGAAAUGCGUAGAUAUUAGGAGGAACACCAGUGGCGAAGGCGGCUUACUGGACUGUAACUGACGUUGAGGCUCGAAAGCGUGGGGAGCAAACAGG
rnacentral:rRNA from 1 species